rnacentral:rRNA from 1 species
CCUACGGGAGGCAGCAGUGAGGAAUAUUGGUCAAUGGACGAGAGUCUGAACCAGCCAAGUAGCGUGCAGGAUGACUGCCCUAUGGGUUGUAAACUUCUUUUAUAUGGGAAUAACAUGUUCCACGUGUGGGAUUUUGUAUGUACCAUAUGAAUAAGGAUCGGCUAACUCCGUGCCAGCAGCCGCGGUAAUACGGAGGAUCCGAGCGUUAUCCGGAUUUAUUGGGUUUAAAGGGAGCGUAGGUGGAUUGUGAAGUGAGUUGUGAAAGUUUGCGGCUCAACCGUAAAAUUGCAGUGGAAACUGGCGUGCUUGAGUACAGGAGAGGCAGGCGGAAUUCGUGGUGUAGCGGUGAAAUGCUUAGAGAUGACGAAGAACUCCGAUUGCGAAGGCAGCUCACUGGAGUGCAACUGACACUGAGGCUCGAAAGUGUGGGUAUCGAACAGGAUUAGAUACCCGGGUAGUC